rnacentral:rRNA from 1 species
GACAGAGGCGGCGAGCGUUGUUCGGAAUCACUGGGCUUAAAGGGCGAGUAGGCGGUAGGGCAAGUCUGAGGUGGAAUCCUAUGGCUCAACCAUAGAACUGCCUUGGAAACUGUUCUACUUGAGUCAGUGAGGGGAGGGCGGAAUUCCCGGUGUAGCGGUGAAAUGCGUAGAUAUCGGGAGGAAGGCCGGUGGCGAAGGCGGCCCUCGGGCGCUGUACUGACGAUGAGGCGCGAAAGCGUGGGGAGCAAACAGG